GAACAGGUUUGUUUUGGUUUUUUUAAUUCUUCAAUAGAACAGCAUAACUGGUCGUGUUACCUGGAUAAGCAAACAGAUCAAGUUCUGUGAAGUCUAAAAAGAGCGUUUUAACUCUUUCCUGAAGCAGUGAGGGAGGGGGGUGUGGCCUUUCUGGCCAGGAAGUAGCUGGGAAGGGUAUAGACAGUAUUUCUCGUCUGACCCGCCAUGGGCUCCAGGCUCCUCUGCUGUGUAGUCCUCUGUCUUCUGGGAGCAGGCGCCGAGGAUGCUGUGGUCACUCAGUUCCCAAGACACAGGGUCUUAGGAAAAGGAAAGGAGCUGACCCUAGAGUGUUCUCAGAAAAUGAAUCACCUCGUAAUGUACUGGUAUCGGCAAGUUCCAGGUCAUGGACUUCAACUGAUCUAUUACUCGACUGGGACUGGCAGCAUUGAAGAUGGAGAUGUCACUGAGGGCUAUAGCGUCUCUCGAGACAAGACACAAAAUUUCCCCCUGACCUUGGCAUCAACCAGCCCCAGCCAGACAGCUGUGUACCUCUGUGCCAGCAGUGAAGGCACAGCAACACACAGCCACAUCCUCUCUGCACAAAAAGGGAAGACCAAGGACAAGGGGACCUGCCCUCGAGAGCUUUCGCCCCAACAAGGAGAUGGAGCCUCCUUGCAAGAUAUACAGAAGCCGUGCUCUGACCUAACUUAA